CAGUGGCGAACGGGUGAGUAACACGUGAGUAACCUGCCCCGGACUCUGGAAUAAGCGCUGGAAACGGCGUCUAAUACCGGAUACGAGACGCAACCGCAUGGUUAGUGUCUGGAAAGUUUUUCGGUCUGGGAUGGACUCGCGGCCUAUCAGCUUGUUGGUGAGGUAAUGGCUCACCAAGGCGACGACGGGUAGCCGGCCUGAGAGGGCGACCGGCCACACUGGGACUGAGACACGGCCCAGACUCCUACGGGAGGCAGCAGUGGGGAAUAUUGCACAAUGGGCGAAAGCCUGAUGCAGCGACGCCGCGUGAGGGAUGACGGCCUUCGGGUUGUAAACCUCUUUCAGCAGGGAAGAAGCGAAAGUGACGGUACCUGCAGAAGAAGCACCGGCUAACUACGUGCCAGCAGCCGCGGUAAUACGUAGGGUGCGAGCGUUGUCCGGAAUUAUUGGGCGUAAAGAGCUUGUAGGCGGUUUGUCGCGUCUGCUGUGAAAAUCCGGGGCUCAACCCCGGACUUGCAGUGGGUACGGGCAGACUAGAGUGUGGUAGGGGAGACUGGAAUUCCUGGUGUAGCGGUGAAAUGCGCAGAUAUCAGGAGGAACACCGAUGGCGAAGGCAGGUCUCUGGGCCACUACUGACGCUGAGAAGCGAAAGCAUGGGGGAGCGAACAGGAUUAGAUA
rnacentral:rRNA from 1 species